rnacentral:rRNA from 1 species
GGCUCAGAUUGAACGCUGGCGGCAUGCCUUACACAUGCAAGUCGAACGGCAGCACGGGUGCUUGCACCUGGUGGCGAGUGGCGAACGGGUGAGUAAUAUAUCGGAACGUACCUUAUCGUGGGGGAUAACGCAGCGAAAGCUGCGCUAAUACCGCAUACGAUCUAUGGAUGAAAGCGGGGGACCGUAAGGCCUCGCGCGAUUGGAGCGGCCGAUGUCAGAUUAGCUAGUUGGUGGGGUAAAGGCCCACCAAGGCGACGAUCCAUAGCUGGUCUGAGAGGAUGAUCAGCCACACUGGGACUGAGACACGGCCCAGACUCCUACGGGAGGCAGCAGUGGGGAAUAUUGGACAAUGGGCGAAAGCCUGAUCCAGCAAUGCCGCGUGAGUGAUGAAGGCCUUAGGGUUGUAAAGCUCUUUUACCCGAGAUGAUAAUGACAGUAUCGGGAGAAUAAGCUCCGGCUAACUCCGUG